UUGCUUCAGCAGCACAUAUGCUAAAACUGGAACAAUACAGAGAAGAUUAGCAUGGCCCC
rnacentral:snRNA from 1 species